ensembl:snRNA U6 U6 spliceosomal RNA
GUGCUCACUUCAGCAGCACAUAUACUAAAACUGGAAUGAUACUGAGAUUAGCAUGGCCCCUGCACAACGAUGACAGGCAAAUUCACGAAGCGUUCCAUUAGGAA